UGCUCUGGUUGCCUAGUGGUUAGAGCAUCUGCUUUGGAUGCAGGAAGUUGUAGGUUUGAACCCCAGCUGAGUCA